rnacentral:rRNA from 1 species
AGCAAUCCAUGAGUACAGUGGCGUACGGGUGAGUAACACGUGGGUAAUCUACCUCUUAGUGGGGAAUAACCAGGGGAAACUCUGGCUAAUACCGCAUAAGCCUGAGAAGGGAAAGCAGCAAUGCGCUGAGAGAGGAGCCCGCGGCCGAUUAGCUAGUUGGUGGGGUAAGAGCCCACCAAGGCAGAGAUCGGUAGCCGGCCUGAGAGGGCACACGGCCACACUGGCACUGAAACACGGGCCAGACUCCUACGGGAGGCAGCAGUGGGGAAUCUUGCACAAUGGGGGAAACCCUGAUGCAGCGACGCCGCGUGAGCGAUGAAGCCCUUCGGGGUGUAAAGCUCUUUCGUCAGGGACGAUAAUGACGGUACCUGGAGAAGCAGCUGCGGCUAACUACGUGCCAGCAGCCGCGGUAAUACGUAGGCAGCAAGCGUUGUUCGGAGUUACUGGGCGUAAAGGGUGUGUAGGCGGUUCUUUAAGUUUGGUGUGAAAUCUCCCGGCUCAACUGGGAGGGUGCGCCGAAUACUGAGGGACUAGAGUACGGGAGAGGAAAGUGGAAUUCCUGGUGUAGCGGUGAAAUGCGUAGAUAUCAGGAGGAACACCGGUGGUGUAGACGGCUUUCUGGACCGUAACUGACGCUGAGACACGAAAGCGUGGGUAGCAAACAGGAUUAGAUACCCUGGUAGUCCACGCCCUAAACGAUGCAUAUUCGGUGUGGGCAGUUCAUUCUGUCCGUGCCGGAGCUAACGCGUUAAAUAUGCCGCCUGGGGAGUACAGUCGCAAGGCUGAAACUC